CAUUAAUGGACAUUCCACUCAAAGACUGUACACAAAACAUUUAGCAUCUAUCUUUCAUACUGGAAAGACCCACAAUGAUAAUAAGUAAUCUGUAUCCUGAGUUUUCAGAAUGAUAAAGCACAAUUUAUCAUAUUAAGAUCAUUUUGAUAUACUUUGCCCAAAAAUAUAAAUUGGUAAUUCAGACGUUUUUGACUGUGUUCUAUUUCUAAUUUUCUGAUUCACUCCUUAAAUAAAUGAUACAUUUCAAUAAAGAAAAUCAAGUUUACACCCAGAGUAGAUUACAAUUUUCUGUCUACAGUUGGAUGGAAAAGUUAAAUUUUAAAAGGAGUGGAAAAUCGAAGAAAACCAUCCUUAUCUCAAAAUCCUUAAGAGAAUACUAAGAAUACAUACAGUCUGCAUUUUCAAAAUACCAGUAUCUUUUUAAUAUUCAAGUCAGAAAGAUUAAAUGCACACAUAAAUGUUCCCAAUUUUACGUGAGAAGCACAAAGCCCUUUUGGAAAUAGCUUGAUAAAUUAACAACGAUAUUCUUUUUAUAAAGUCAUGUUCCCUUGGUAACCUUUUUUGGUUUAUAUUUUAAAUGAAUAUGUUAGUGAUGAAAAACCUUAAAUAUAAGUGUCUCAUGUAAUGCAGCCUUUCAACUAGAGUAUUAUCAUCCCAUUUGAAAACCUGAAUUUAUCAUAUUAGAUAGCCCUUUAUUCCUCUCCUAAAUCAAGCAUGCUAAAAAAAAAAGCAGAGUAUGAAGAAAUAAACAGACUAAAUAGAAAAUGUAACUGCAUGCAACAUGUUAUUCUAUUUUACAGAAAUAGAUUUAAUAAU
rnacentral:lncRNA from 1 species